GAUGAAGAACGUAGUGAAAUGCGAUACGUAAUGUGAAUUGCAAAUUCAGUGAAUCAUCGAAUCUUUGAACGCACAUUGCGCCCUCUGGUAUUCCGGGGGGCAUGCCUGUUCGAGCGUCAUUAUAACCACUCAAGCUCUCGCUUGGUAUUGGGGUUCGCGGUUCCGCGGCCCCUAAAAUCAGUGGCGGUGCCUGUCGGCUCUACGCGUAGUAAUACUCCUCGCGAUUGAGUCCGGUAGGUCUACUUGCCAGCAACCCCCAAUUUUUACAGGUUGACCUCGGAUCAGGUAGGGAUACCCGCUGAACUUAAGCAUAUCAAUAAGCGGAGGA
rnacentral:misc_RNA from 1 species